rnacentral:rRNA from 1 species
GCAAGUCGAGCGAAUCCCAGGCUCUCACCAUGCUCUCUGUUAACCGGCGAUUCUGCCUUGAUUGAUCAAGGCGUGGACUGGUUGCAGAGGGUGCGGUGAGAGUCUGGGGGAAGCGGCGCAAGGGGCAGUAAUGCAUGGAUAACCUACCCUGGGGACGGGGAUAGCUUUUCUAACGAGAAGGUAAUACCCGAUGAUGUGGCCGGUGGAUGCACUGGUUACCAAAUGAAUUUCGCCCUGGGAGGGGUUCAUGUGGUAUUAGCUUGUUGGUGAGGUAACGGCUCACCAAGGCAAAGAUGCCUAGCUGGUGUGAGAGCAUGACCAGCGCCACUGGGACUGAGACACUGCCCAGACUCCUACGGGAGGCUGCAGUCGAGGAUCUUCCGCAAUGGGCGAAAGCCUGACGGAGCGACGCCGCGUGUGCGAUGAAGGCCUUCGGGUUGUAAAGCACUGUCGAGGGGGAGAAAAGGAAACUUGAUCUACCCCUGGAGGAAGGACGGGCUAAGUUCGUGCCAGCAGCCGCGGUAAGACGAACCGUCCUAACGUUGUUCGGAAUCACUGGGCUUAAAGGGCGCGUAGGCGGUCGGCAAAGUCAGGGGUGAAAUCUUUCGGCUUAACCGGAAAAGUGCCUUUGAAACUAGUCGACUCGAGGGAGAUAGGGGCAAUUGGAACUUCCGGUGGAGCGGUGAAAUGCGUUGAUAUCGGAAGGAACGCCGGUGGCGAAAGCGAAUUGCUGGAUCUCUUCUGACGCUGAGGCGCGAAAGCUAGGGGAGCAAACGGGAUUAGAU